AACCAGUACCGUGAGGGAAAGGCGAAAAGAACCCCGGCGAGGGGAGUGAAAAAGAACCUGAAACCGUGUACGUACAAGCAGUGGGAGCACAGAGCAAUCUGUGUGACUGCGUACCUUUUGUAUAAUGGGUCAGCGACUUAUAUUCUGUAGCAAGGUUAACCGAAUAGGGGAGCCGAAGGGAAACCGAGUCUUAACUGGGCGUUAAGUUGCAGGGUAUAGACCCGAAACCCGGUGAUCUAGCCAUGGGCAGGUUGAAGGUUGGGUAACACUAACUGGAGGACCGAACCGACUAAUGUUGAAAAAUUAGCGGAUGACUUGUGGCUGGGGGUGAAAGGCCAAUCAAACCGGGAGAUAGCUGGUUCUCCCCGAAAGCUAUUUAGGUAGCGCCUCGUGAAUUCAUCUCCGGGGGUAGAGCACUGUUUCGGCAAGGGGGUCAUCCCGACUUACCAACCCGAUGCAAACUGCGAAUACCGGAGAAUGUUAUCACGGGAGACACACGGCGGGUGCUAACGUCCGUCGUGAAGAGGGAAACAACCCAGACCGCCAGCUAAGGUCCCAAAGUCAUGGUUAAGUGGGAAACGAUGUGGGAAGGCCCAGACAGCCAGGAUGUUGGCUUAGAAGCAGCCAUCAUUUAAAGAAAGCGUAAUAGCUCACUGGUCGAGUCGGCCUGCGCGGAAGAUGUAACGGGGCUAAACCAUGCAC
rnacentral:rRNA from 1 species